CCUACGGGAGGCAGCAGUGGGGAAUAUUGGGCAAUGGGCGCAAGCCUGACCCAGCAAUGCCGCGUGAAGGAAGAAGGCUUUCGGGUUGUAAACUUCUUUGACAGGGGAAGAGCAGAAGACGGUACCCUGAAAACAAGCCACGGGUAACUACGUGCCAGCAGCCGCGGUAAUACGUAGGUGGCAAGCGUUGUCCGGAUUUACUGGGUGUAAAGGGCGUGUAGCCGGGAAGGCAAGUCAGAUGUGAAAUCUGGAGGCUCAACCUCCAAAUUGCAUUUGAAACUGUUUUUCUUGAGUACUGGAGAGGCAGACGGAAUUCCUUGUGUAGCGGUGAAAUGCGUAGAUAUAAGGAGGAACACCAGUGGCGAAGGCGGUCUGCUGGGCAGCAACUGACGGUGAGGCGCGAAAGCGUGGGGAGCAAACAGGAUUAGAUACCCCAGUAGUC
rnacentral:rRNA from 1 species